rnacentral:rRNA from 1 species
GAGUUUGAUCAUGGCUCAGGAUGAACGCUAGCGGCGCGCCUAAUGCAUGCAAGUCGAGCGAUGAGGCACCUUUGGGUGUACAUCAGCGGCAGACGGGUGAGUAACACGUAGGUGACCUACCCCGAAGACGGGGAUAACAGGUGGAAACAUCUGCUAAUACCCGAUGGGCUCUGAGCGGAAGCGAGGAGUAAAGGCUACGGUGCUUCGGGAGGGGCCUGCGGCCUAUCAGCUAGUUGGUAGGGUAACGGCCUACCAAGGCGAAGACGGGUAGGGGUGUGAGAGCACGG